GGUUAAGUUAGAAAGGGCGCACGGUGGAUGCCUUGACACUAGGAGUCGAUGAAGGACGGGACUAACGCCGAUAUGCUUCGGGGAGCUGUAAGUAAGCUUUGAUCCGAAGAUUUCCGAAUGGGGAAACCCACCAUACGUAAUGGUAUGGUAUCCUUAUCUGAAUACAUAGGGUAAGGAAGACAGACCCAGGGAACUGAAACAUCUAAGUACCUGGAGGAAGAGAAAGCAAAUGCGAUUUCCUGAGUAGCGGCGAGCGAAACGGAACAUAGCCCAAACCAAGAGGCUUGCCUCUUGGGGUUGUAGGACAUUCUAUACGGAGUUACAAAGGAACGAGGUAGACGAAGCGACCUGGAAAGGUCCGUCGUAGAGGGUAACAACCCCGUAGUCGAAACUUCGUUCUCUCUUGAAUGUAUCCUGAGUACGGCGGAACACGUGAAAUUCCGUCGGAAUCUGGGAGGACCAUCUCCCAAGGCUAAAUACUCCCUAGUGAUCGAUAGUGAACCAGUACCGUGAGGGAAAGGUGAAAAGCACCCCGGAAGGGGAGUGAAAGAGAUCCUGAAACCGUGUGCCUACAAAUAGUCAGAGCCCGUUAACGGGUGAUGGCGUGCCUUUUGUAGAAUGAACCGGCGAGUUACGAUCCCGUGCAAGGUUAAGCUGAAGAGGCGGAGCCGCAGCGAAAGCGAGUCUGAAUAGGGCGUUUAGUACGUGGUCGUAGACCCGAAACCAGGUGAUCUACCCAUGUCCAGGGUGAAGUUCAGGUAACACUGAAUGGAGGCCCGAACCCACGCACGUUGAAAAGUGCGGGGAUGAGGUGUGGGUAGCGGAGAAAUUCCAAUCGAACCUGGAGAUAGCUGGUUCUCCCCGAAAUAGCUUUAGGGCUAGCCUUAAGUGUAAGAGUCUUGGAGGUAGAGCACUGAUUGGACUAGGGGUCCUCAUCGGAUUACCGAAUUCAGUCAAACUCCGAAUGCCAAUGACUUAUCCUUAGGAGUCAGACUGCGAGUGAUAAGAUCCGUAGUCAAAAGGGAAACAGCCCAGACCGCCAGCUAAGGUCCCAAAGUGUGUAUUAAGUGGAAAAGGAUGUGGAGUUGCUUAGACAACUAGGAUGUUGGCUUAGAAGCAGCCACCAUUUAAAGAGUGCGUAAUAGCUCACUAGUCGAGUGACUCUGCGCCGAAAAUGUACCGGGGCUAAAUACACCACCGAAGCUGCGGAUUGAUACCAAUGGUAUCAGUGGUAGGGGAGCGUUCUAAGGACAGUGAAGUCAGACCGGAAGGACUGGUGGAGUGCUUAGAAGUGAGAAUGCCGGUAUGAGUAGCGAAAGACGGGUGAGAAUCCCGUCCACCGAAUGCCUAAGGUUUCCUGAGGAAGGCUCGUCCGCUCAGGGUUAGUCAGGACCUAAGCCGAGGCCGACAGGCGUAGGCGAUGGACAACAGGUUGAUAUUCCUGUACCACCUCUUUAUCGUUUGAGCAAUGGAGGGACGCAGAAGGAUAGAAGAAGCGUGCGAUUGGUUGUGCACGUCCAAGCAGUUAGGCUGAUAAGUAGGCAAAUCCGCUUAUCGUGAAGGCUGAGCUGUGAUGGGGAAGCUCCUUAUGGAGCGAAGUCUUUGAUUCCCCGCUGCCAAGAAAAGCUUCUAGCGAGAUAAAAGGUGCCUGUACCGCAAACCGACACAGGUAGGCGAGGAGAGAAUCCUAAGGUGUGCGAGAGAACUCUGGUUAAGGAACUCGGCAAAAUGACCCCGUAACUUCGGGAGAAGGGGUGCUUUCUUAACGGAAAGCCGCAGUGAAUAGGCCCAAGCGACUGUUUAGCAAAAACACAGCUCUCUGCGAAGCCGUAAGGCGAAGUAUAGGGGGUGACACCUGCCCGGUGCUGGAAGGUUAAGGAGAGGGGUUAGCGUAAGCGAAGCUCUGAACUGAAGCCCCAGUAAACGGCGGCCGUAACUAUAACGGUCCUAAGGUAGCGAAAUUCCUUGUCGGGUAAGUUCCGACCCGCACGAAAGGUGUAACGAUUUGGGCACUGUCUCAACCAGAGACUCGGUGAAAUUAUAGUACCUGUGAAGAUGCAGGUUACCCGCGACAGGACGGAAAGACCCCGUGGAGCUUUACUGUAGCCUGAUAUUGAAUUUUGGUACAGUUUGUACAGGAUAGGCGGGAGCCUUUGAAACCGGAGCGCUAGCUUCGGUGGAGGCGCUGGUGGGAUACCGCCCUGACUGUAUUGAAAUUCUAACCUACGGGUCUUAUCGACCCGGGAGACAGUGUCAGGUGGGCAGUUUGACUGGGGCGGUCGCCUCCUAAAGUGUAACGGAGGCGCCCAAAGGUUCCCUCAGAAUGGUUGGAAAUCAUUCGUAGAGUGCAAAGGCAUAAGGGAGCUUGACUGCGAGACCUACAAGUCGAGCAGGGACGAAAGUCGGGCUUAGUGAUCCGGUGGUUCCGCAUGGAAGGGCCAUCGCUCAACGGAUAAAAGCUACCCCGGGGAUAACAGGCUUAUCUCCCCCAAGAGUCCACAUCGACGGGGAGGUUUGGCACCUCGAUGUCGGCUCAUCGCAUCCUGGGGCUGUAGUCGGUCCCAAGGGUUGGGCUGUUCGCCCAUUAAAGCGGUACGCGAGCUGGGUUCAGAACGUCGUGAGACAGUUCGGUCCCUAUCCGUCGUGGGCGUAGGAAAUUUGAGAGGAGCUGUCCUUAGUACGAGAGGACCGGGAUGGACGCACCGCUGGUGUACCAGUUGUUCUGCCAAGGGCAUAGCUGGGUAGCUAUGUGCGGAAGGGAUAAGUGCUGAAAGCAUCUAAGCAUGAAGCCCCCCUCAAGAUGAGAUUUCCCAUAGCGUAAGCUAGUAAGAUCCCUGAAAGAUGAUCAGGUUGAUAGGUUCGAGGUGGAAGCAUGGUGACAUGUGGAGCUGACGAAUACUAAUAGAUCGAGGACUUAACCAU
rnacentral:rRNA from 1 species